AGUGAACGCUGGCGGCGUGCUUAACACAUGCAAGUCGAACGAGAACGGAAUAUAGCUUGCUAUAUUUGUCAGCUAAGUGGCGCACGGGUGAGUAAUGUAUAGAUAACCUGCCCUUAAGAAAGGAAUAACAGUUGGAAACGACUGCUAAUGCCCUAUAUGCCUAUAAUACAUAAGUAUGCAAGGGAAACGCUUUAGUGCUUAAGGAUGGGUCUGUAUGGUAUCAGCUUGUUGGUGAGGUAAUGGCUCACCAAGGCUAUGACGCCUAACUGGUUUGAGAGGAUGAUCAGUCACACUGGAACUGAGACACGGUCCAGACUCCUACGGGAGGCAGCAGUGGGGAAUAUUGCACAAUGGACGAAAGUCUGAUGCAGCAACGCCGCGUGGAGGAUGACACAUUUCGGUGCGUAAACUCCUUUUAUAUAGGAAGAUAAUGACGGUACUAUAUGAAUAGGCACCGGCUAACUCCGUGCCAGCCGCCGCCGUAA
rnacentral:rRNA from 1 species